rnacentral:rRNA from 1 species
UAUAUCGGAACGUACCCUGGAGUGGGGGAUAACGUAGCGAAAGUUACGCUAAUACCGCAUACGAUCUAAGGAUGAAAGUGGGGGAUUCGCAAGAACCUCAUGCUCCUGGAGCGGCCGAUAUCUGAUUAGCUAGUUGGUAGGGUAAAAGCCUACCAAGGCAUCGAUCAGUAGCUGGUCUGAGAGGACGACCAGCCACACUGGAACUGAGACACGGUCCAG